AAGGGCUUGUCCCAUCCAUCCAGAUAUAAGAAGAAAGAUUCCUUUUAAAAUACACACUCUGCUGUCACACAGGCACACCCGGAAUUUGUUGCGUAAUGAAUUUAAGAGGCAGCUGAAUAUUAUUCCCCAGGUUUGCCCUGCUGGCUGUCAGAGUAAGAUUUUGAAUGGGGUUAUUCAUAUCUCCUGGCCCUCUCCUUUGUCACACAUUUUGCCCCCACAGAACUUUAAGAGGAAAUAUGACAUCUUCCUCUCCACGUGAUAAAGCCUUUCAUCAAGAGAUCCAUUAACUAACAGGCAUCUACCAUGCUCAGAGCAUCAAAUUUGCAUGACUGAAGAAAGUCAGAAAAUGUCCUACCAGAUAGCUUGGGUGAUUCUAUUCUGUCUGCGGAUGACUGCUUCACAGGAAGGGAUAUUGAUCCAGCAGAGCCCAGCACAGAUCUUUCUGGCCUCUGGAGAAACUGCACGGAUAGACUGUAAGCUUUCAACAAGAAGACAGUAUAUAUACUGGUACAAAGAACUUCAGAAUGGAAGUUUGCACGGGAUUUACCAGAGUUAUGAGUUUGCUACAACUCCACAUGAAAAAUACUCGAGUACAGUGAACAUUCCGGCAAAAACGUUUACUCUGAUUAUAAGUAACGUACAAAGAAAUGACUCUGGGGUGUAUUACUGUGGCCUUGCUGUAUACGUACAUCCGAACUUCGGGAAUGGGACCAGGCUAAUUGUCACAGAUGAGGCCUGGAAAGAAAACUGCAAUGAUGUGUUAUAUGUUGGGCUGUCUUGUAUUUUCAUCCUUGUCGUCAUCCAGCUGCUGAUCCUGCUCUUCAGAAAGUGUCCAACCAGAGCAGGGAGAGCUGUGCAAACAGGGAAUCAAAUACCUAUGAGGCACAUUCCACAGACCGAGUAUGCAGCUGUGAGGUACAAGAAAUGAAAAGUCCCUUUUUAACUGACAUGGUCUGACAAAAUUAUUUAUUGGGUUUAAAGAAGCUAUGCAUGAGGGGAGAAUGAAAGUGAAAGAGAAUUUCUGAGUCUAAUGUCUGCACUUUACUAAUUACUAAAAUGUGAGGUGGCUGGGCUUAAAAUACAACUUGUUAUAAAUGUACCAGUCUCCAAACCCUUUUUGACACCACAUAUUUAAAUAAAUUGUUUUCUUUUUGGUUA